rnacentral:rRNA from 1 species
UACAGAGGGGGCAAGCGUUAUUCGGAAUUAUUGGGCGUAAAGGGUGCGUAGGCGGCCUGACAAGUGGAAGGUGAAAUCCCUCGGCUCAACUGAGGAACUGCCCUCCAAACUGUUUGGCUUGAGACCGGGAGAGGUGAGUGGAAUUCCCAGUGUAGCGGUGAAAUGCGUAGAUAUUGGGAGGAACACCAGUGGCGAAGGCGGCUCACUGGACCGGUACUGACGCUGAGGCGCGAAAGCGUGGGGAGCGAACAGG